rnacentral:rRNA from 1 species
GUGCCAGCAGCCGCGGUAAUACGGAGGGUGCAAGCGUUGUUCGGAAUUACUGGGCGUAAAGAGCGUGUAGGCGGCUGAUCAAGUCGGGUGUGAAAGCCCGGGGCUUACCCCCGGAAGUGCGCUCGAAACUGGUCAGCUAGAGUAUGGGAGAGGGAAGUGGAAUUCCUGGUGUAGCGGUGAAAUGCGUAGAUAUCAGGAGGAACACCGGCGGCGAAGGCGGCUUCCUGGACCAAUACUGACGCUGAGACGCGAAAGCGUGGGGAGCAAACAGGAUUAGAAACCCGGGUAGUCC